GUCUACAGUCAAACCACCCUCAACACGCCUGAUCUCCACUGGUCUCAGAAGCUAAAUCGGGGUCAGGCCUGCUUGAUGUUUAGAUGCAACAGCACUUGGGAAGACCUGGUGCUGUAGUGA
ensembl:rRNA n-R5s79 nuclear encoded rRNA 5S 79